rnacentral:rRNA from 1 species
GAUGAACGCUGGCGGCGUGCCUAAUACAUGCAAGUCGAACGCUUCACUUCGGUGAAGAGUGGCGAACGGGUGCGUAAUCCAUAAGUAACCUGGCAUCUACAGGGGGAUAACUGAUGGAAACGUCAGCUAAGACCGCAUAGGUGUAGAGAUCGCAUGAACUCUAUAUGAAAAGUGCUACGGGACUGGUAGAUGAUGGACUUAUGGCGCAUUAGCUUGUUGGUAGGGUAACGGCCUACCAAGGCGACGAUGCGUAGCCGACCUGAGAGGGUGACCGGCCACACUGGGACUGAGACACGGCCCAGACUCCUACGGGAGGCAGCAGUAGGGAAUUUUCGGCAAUGGGGGAAACCCUGACCGAGCAACGCCGCGUGAAGGAAGAAGUAAUUCGUUAUGUAAACUUCUGUCAUAGAGGAAGAACGGUGGAUAUAGGGAAUGAUAUCCAAGUGACGGUACUCUAUAAGAAAGCCACGGCUAACUACGUG